ACACACCUUGUCGACAAGCACAUAUCGACCCAAGGGAUUCGACACUCGAAUUACGAACUCAGUAGACUCAACAGGUAGAGUCUUACUGGACGCUAAUGUUUCACAUACGUAAGAAUGAGUUGAACCAGGAUCAAUUAAAGCAAGCACACUAGUACUAUAGAGAGUAAAUGUACCAGUGAUAACGUCAGGGGAGGAUGCCUCCUCUCGUGCACGGAUGGCAUAAGCUCUGGCGGGGGCACAAGUCUCAGAUUGAAUAGUCAUAUCAGUAGUCCCGCUCUAAUUACCACCCCUGCCUUCUGCAUUUCUCAGCGGUCUACCUCUAGUUGUUGUACCACUCGACCUCCCACCUUGCAGUUUAUUUUUCUCGUCAGAUUCCGUGCAAUCUCGAACGAAAUGAUCCCGCGAACCGCAUCUAUAACAGGCUCUGUUAAUAGAUUUACCCCAACAUUCACCUACAUGUCAUCUUCCACACUGUGGACAUUCGGGUUUUUCUGGCCGAUUGUUGCCAACACUAGCAACCGAAGUAGCUCGAGAGUCCGUUGAUGGUCGCUCCUUAACAGAAAUUCCUGCAGUCGUCUUUGAUCUAUUAGUAUCGUCUCUGAACUUCUUUGAAGCUGAGAAAGAAGUUUUACCCAUCGAUCUUUUGCAAAAAUCUCUAGCUUCAGUUUCAGCUUUCUUUUUCUCCUUUCCAAGCUCUUCAGCCUUGCAAGCUCGUUCAACCAGUGUUACAAAUUCUUUUAGUUCUAAAAUACCCAUCAGUAGCUUUAAAUCUUCAUUCAAUCCCUCUUCAAAUCUUUUACACAUGGUAACUUCAUCAGCUACACACUCCUGAGCAUAUCGACUGAGCCUUACAAACUCACGUUCAUAUUCGGAUACCAUCAAACGGCCUUGUUUAAGCUCCAAAAAUUCUUUGCGCUUUUGAUCAAUGAAUCGUUGACUGAUAUACUUUUUACGAAACUCCAUCUGGAAAAAGUCCCAAGUAACUCGUUCCUUUGGAAUAAUCGAAAUCAAGGUUCUCCACCAAUAGUAGGCCGAAUCGCGUAAUAAGGAUAUGGCACACUUUAAACACUCAUCGGGUGUGCAAGAUAGCUCAUCAAAAACACGGAUGGUAUUAUCAAGCCAAAACUCAGCCCUUUCAGCGUCAUCAGUAGUGGUGGCUCGAAAUUCCUCGGCCCCGCGCUUUCUAAUCAAAUCAACAGGAGGUUUACUCAGCCUCAUAGGGUCAGUAGUUGCUGGUAUUAUAGGCACCAGAGAAGGAUUAUUCAAAUUCGAGAAUUGUUGAGCAGCCGGGUUUGUUCGGGCAUACUGUGCAACCCACUCAUUCAUCAUGGUAAAGAAGGCUUGUUUAGCCCCAUCAUCUUGAUUACUCGCAGAUGGUUGAGGUUCAACAGGCGCUGUCCAUUGCCUAGGAGCAAGCGCUACACUCUCAACGUCAUCCGCUAAGGCUCUCUCUGGAGUGGAUUCCAUUUACUAAUCAAACAACAAUUUCAACCGUCAGAAGUCAUCACACUAUCAUAUCCUAGCAUUAUGGCAUGUAUAGCUAGACUCAUACGCGCUACGGUAGUCCUAGAAUCGACUAAACUGUGGCUCUGAUACCAAUAAAAUCUAACACCCAAAUAUCCGUGUCGAUUACUAGAGUAGGUUCAUAAAACAUAACAUGCUCAACUUUUUAAUAGAACACUUGAGAUACAAAAGAAAAUUGAAAAGUGAAAUCUUAAAAUUUACGAAUAACAUUACCCGAUUAAAACCCUUUUAUUCAUUUUAUGAUUUAUCCCUUAUUGACCGAGUGCACAUACAUAAUAUAUAUAAUUCAAUCAUAUCACAAAUAUGAAGUUCUAAAUCAAGAUUUAUAACCAAAACAUUUUCAAAUUCAUAGAUAGAACUUUAGCCAUAUUCGUAUGGCUUUAUAUACAAUUAUAUCAAAAUAGCUAACCUCCCAAAAUUACUAUCCUAUACAUGCCAUAAUGUCUACUAAAGUUUCAAACAAAAGUACCAAAAAGGUUGACAAAAGUUGCGAUGACUUCGUGAUGGUUCCCAGGCUUUCCUCGAAUAAAAUGAUCUAUACCAAAGCGAAAAACACACCGAGUGAGUUAUUAACUCAGUAAGUCCUAAGAAAAUUUCAAUACUAUAAUAAUUCAAUUAUCUACAAACUAAAUAAUUAACUCAAUACUAUUCGAACUUAGCCAUGAUAUCACAAGGAAAUAUAUUAUGUCACAAACGUACCUUAUGCAUUUGGUACAUACUUACCCGAAUACACCAUAUACUCCUACUCUAAAUAUUCACAAUUAAAAUACCAUGGCAAUGUCAUAUACAACCAUUGACGUGUAUAUAUAUAUAAAUGUAUAUAUAUAAUAUACAAAGCCUAAAAUUUAAAGCAUAAACCAAGCCACUCCAUUUAUCAAUCAAAUCUCCAAUUUAAUGUUUAGUUGCAUUCUUAAUUGCCACAAAUAAUACUCCAUAAUCAACAUUUCACACUUAGUGCUCGAUUUGAAAGUCCGCACACACAGUGCUUUUACUUAUUCGCACACAUAGUGCAAUGUUUUCUCGCACACAUAGUGCCACAUAGCUCCGCACACAUAGUGCUGUAUUUUCUUAUCUUUAAUCAUCAUAUUAUCAUAGAUUGAUCAAUAAUUUCACAUUCAAUUCCCAAGAACAUAUAUAUACUAUGAUAUCUUAUCUAACUUAAUUUCUCUCAUCUAUGCUCAAAGUUAACUAUAACUUGAUUACCUAAGGACUUACCUUUUUAAUCAGAUGACAACUCCGAUCGGCUACUCCAUCACUCUUGCUUUCCCUUUUUCCGAACUUGGCUCCCUUUGAUCUUGAGCUCCAACUCCAGCUAAGUGAAUAAAAUAACUAAAUCAUCGUAACCCCAAUUUAUACUUCUUCCUCAUAGACACACACACACAAAGAUUCGGUAUUUGCUCAUACAUAAUUUAAAAUUUAAAUAUUUAAACUUAAUGUAUAUCCAACAUACUUAUCAUAUAUUCCUAUAAUUCAAUACAUUAUAAGAUCAAUUUCGGCAAUUCACAUUUCCAAAUUUUAUUAGCUAAGUUAAUUUUCGGUUAGUGCUCUUUUAAAAUCUAUCAAGCUCGUAUUCCUCUAAUUUCAUGAGUUCAACGUCUUAGUGCCUAUAGUAACUACUCAAAUAAGUUUCGAAUACAUAAAUUAAGUCACCCCAAACUAUCUUGAUUUAAAAUCGACAAACAUACAUAUGUCAAACUAUUUUAACCAAAUUUUACUUAUCACUUAUACUAAAAUAUGCACUUAAACUUACUAUGUUUACAUCAUGCCUUACACUCCCAAAACAUAAGACAUCAAUCUAUUUCCUUCUUCCAUGUCUUAGACAACUACUCAUUUUACCUUAUAAUCUUGAAUUUUGCAUUUUGACGUAUCUAUCAUGACUUAUUUGGCUUACAUUGAACCAUUACUCAUACAAGAAAAUAGCAAACAAAAUGAAUAUUCCAUUCAAAUCCUCAUAUGGCCGAAUACACAAUGUACUACCCAACUAAUAAUUCAACAAAUUCAAUCUCAUUCUCUCAUCUACAUAUUCAAAACAACAUGAAAACAACCUCCAAUUCUACUACAUUGAUAUACGGCUUAGUGCCCAAACUACCAUAGAACUUAUAUUUCUUUUUUUUUUGACAUGGCCAAGAGAUGCAUUUACAAUUACCUUAAACAUUUAAAGGAAAAAUUCCAAAAAUAACUUCAAAUCUUACCUCCAACUAGCCAAGAAGGUGCCGAAUUGCCCUAAUAAAAUUUCUCUUUUUUUUUUCUUUCCCUUUUGUUUCGAUUUGUAACCAGGAAGAAGAUGGUCACUUUUCUUUUCUUUUAUUCAUCUUUUUAUUUUUUUAUUCAUUAUGAUUUGAAUAUUUUAUUCCUUUUCCAAUUUAAUAUACAAAUUAAUUUAAAUUAGUGGAAGGGCAUCAUUACUUGGCUGGCCACUUAGUGCAAAAAUGGGCAUUUUGACAUGCAAAUCCAUGCUUUCUCACCUUAGUGUUAUUUAAUCCUUACAAUUUACCUAUCAUCUUUUCUAAAUUUCUCAACUAAGUCCUUUCAAGAAAAUUCACAUUCCUAAGGCUAAUUUUAAGCAUUUAAUUUUUUUCACACAUACACUAUCACACAUAAAUAUAUGCAAUUAAAACAGAAAUAAAUUUUUAUGACUCGGUUUUGUGGUCCCGAAACCACAUUCUGACUAGGGUCUAAUUAGGGCCGUCACAACAUUCGGGUAGUACAAAAAUGUAUAAUGAUCUAAAACAACAUUACUGGUGGUCUGGAAUGAAAAGAGAUAUCUCUGGCUAUGUUUUGAAAUGUUUGAUCUGUCAGCAAGUUAAAGCUAAACAUCAAGUGUCAUCUGGUUUGUUACAGCCAAUUAUGAUUUUGGAAUGAAAAUGGGAUAGAAUAAUGAUGGAUUUUGUUUCAAGUUUGGCCCUAUCUCUGAGAAAGAAAGAUGCAAUUUGGGUUGUAGUUGAUCGAUUGACAAAAUCAUCUCAUUUUAUUCUGGUUUGAUCUGAUUCCUCGCUUGAUAAAUUAGCUGAUAUAUACGUUUUCGAUAUUGUGAGAUUGCAUGGUGUGCCGUUAUCUAUUGUGUCAGAUAGAGAUUCAAGAUUUACUUCAUGAUUUUGUAAGAAACUACAAGAGGCAUUCAGUACGAAAUUACAAUUCAAUAUUGCUUUUCACCCGCAGACAGAUGGUCAAUUUGAGCGGAUUAUUGAGAUUCUUGAGGAUAUGUUGAGAUGUUGUAUUCUUGAAUUUGAAGGUAUGUGGGAACAAUAUUUGCCAUUGAUUGAAUUUUCUUAUAAUAACAGUUUUCAAUCGAGCAUCAAAAUGGCACCGUACGAAGCCUUAUACGGUAGAAAAUGUCGUAUACCAUUGUAUUGGUCAAAGCUUAGUGAAAAUAAGAUUCACGGGGUUGAUUUGAUUAAAGAGACUGAACAAAAAGUGAAAGUGAUCCGAGAUAGUCUGAAAGCAGCUUCUGAUCGUCAGAAAUCAUAUGUGGAUUUGAAACAAAAAGAUAUUGAAUUUGAGAUCGGCGAUAAAGUGUUUUUGAAAGUAUCUCCAUGGAAGAAAAUAUUCCAAUUUGGCAGAAAAGGCAAAUUGAGUCCAAGAUUCAUUGGGCAAUAUGAGAUUAUCGAGCGUAUCAAACCGGUUACAUAUAGAUUGUUAUUGCCACCAGAGUUAGAAAAGAUUCACAAUGUGUUACACGUGUCGAUGCUUCGACGAUACAGAUCCGAUCCCUCACAUGUGAUUCCUCCGUCUGAGAUUGAGAUUCAGUCCGAUAUGACAUAUGAAGAAGAAUCGAUCCGUAUCUUGGCUCGCAAGGUUAAAGAACUGCGAAAUAAGAAAAUUUCGUUAGUAAAAGUAAUGUGGCAUCGACAUGGUGUGGACUAAAAUUUCGUUAAGGGACUAAAAUGUAAAAUAAAUGAAAAAUGUGGACUUGUAUGAACUAUAUGAAAAUUCGGCUAAGCAUAUGUAUAAAGAAAUUUUGUGAUUUUAUGAAUUAGGGACUAAGUGUAAAAAUGUAAAAAUGUGAGGGCUAAUUUGUAAAGUUCCCUAAAUAUGUGUAUAUGGAUUGAAUUGAAUGAUUUGUUGAAUAAAAGAGUUAAAUUUGAAUAUGUAUAGAUCAAGAACCAAAGAAAACGGAAUUAGAUCGGGGAAAGUCAAAAGUCGUCAAGUAGUCGAUUUCAUUCGUCCAAAUCCGUAUGAUGUAAGUCAAUAUACAAAUAAACAUGUUUGAGUUGAUUAAUUGAUGUUUAUAUGACAUUUAAUUGUGAUGAAUGGCUAGAUGAGAGCUCAAUAUUUGAUAUCCGAGAAAGUUCCAAUAAUGUUACGACAUCUGAAAAGCCCCGUACGAACCAUAGGAAUAGUUAGGAUACAUAUGUCAUGACAUAAUAUUCGAUAUGUGUUUUCCUGUAAGACCACGUCUAGGACGUUGGCAUCGAUCUGAGGUUUACAUGUAAGACUAUGUCUGGGACAUUGGCAUCGUAUUUGAUUUCGUGUAAGACCUUGUCUGGGAUAGUGGCAUCGAUAUUUGAUUACAUGUAAGACCACAUCUGGGAUGUUGGCAUUGUACGAGUUUUUCGAGCUAUCCAUGUAUCCUUAUUGAAUCCGAACGGUUCAACAAGCAUUCCAAGAAAAUGAAUGACUAUGUGAACUUGAAUUGAAUUCAAGUACAUUUGAAAUAAAUGCAUAUUAAGAAUGAAAGGUAAGUAUAUGUUUAUAUGUGGACAUAUGAAAUAUGUCUGAAUUAUAUGAGUAUGAAAUAUGUUAGGUGUAAGUGACUUAUGAACAAUUGAGUUAUAUGAGAAUUAUGGAUAUGUAGUUAUGUUUUUCUUUAAGUUACAUGAAUGAAAUGUUUGGAAAUGUUAUGUGAUGAGUUUAUUUGUAUAUGGCUUACUAAGCUUUUGAAAGCUUACUUUGUGUGUGUUUGCAUUGUUUCUUAGAUAUCGAAGCUACUGGGAGCUCAAGGAUCAUCGAGGAUCAUCACCACACUAUCGAGUUCUAUUUUGGUACCUUUUGAAAAUGUGAAUAUUGAAGUAUGCUAUGUAUAGGCUAGAAGUAGUUGAAUAUGUUUUGUAAGGUGUAUAUCUAGCCAUGUGAUAUGGCUUGGUUAUGGAUGUGAUUAGGAAAGAAUUUUGGUAUAUGUUUGUGUUCAAUAAUGUAUGUUUUGAUGCACUCUUGAAUGAGCAAAUAAGAUGGUCAAUUUUGGUAAGAUAUGGUAUGUGCCUAUUUUGGAAUUUGGUGAUAUUUUGGCAUGAGAAUGAAUGAAGUAAAUUGAGAUUAUGAAUCAUAUAUUUUGGUACGAUUUUUGGCUUAGAAUUUGGUAUGAAUUGGUAUGGAUUACAAGUAUGAAAUUUGUUAAUAAUGAUAUGUCAUGAAUGGUGUAUGAUUGGUUUUGAAUUGGUUGAAAAUUUGGUACAAAAUGUUUUGGUUUGAUGCUUGUAAGGAUGACCCAAAAUGGGUGGCAAAUUGGCUUUGCAAAUAGCCUAUUUUUGUUCACACGGGCGUGUGUCUCAGCCGUGUGUGACACAUGGUUAUGUUACAUGGUCGUGUGUCCCCUGAGGUACCCAACGAUUUAAAGUCAGUAUACCCUACAGUUUUGACAUGGCCUAGACACACAAGCGUGUCUAGUGGCCGUGUGUGGCACACAGCCUUGGCACAUGGGCUUAUGUGACCAUUUCGAAGGGUACACAGGUGUGUGGUCGGCCGUGUGACCCAAGUUAGUAACCUCCCUAAUUUUCACACAGCCAGGCACACGGACGGGUCUUGUGGCCGUGUGGAUAAGUCAGCAUGUAUGCCCUGUUUCGACACAGCCUAGACACACGGGCUUGUCUAAUGCCAUGUGAGGCACACAGCCUGUUCACACGGGCGUGUGACCUUUGUAACUUUGAAAAAAUUGUUUAAGUUUCAAAAAAAAAUUUGUAUGAGAUCGGUUUAGUCCCGACCCCUUUCUAAAGCAUGUUUUAGGACUCUUUGAUCUACGUAAUGUGUGACUUUGAUGCUAUGUUGAUUAUGAAAUGAUUGCGAAUUGUACUGAGAUGUCAGGUAAUGCCUCUUAACCCUAGUCUGGUGAUGGAUACGGGUUAGUGGUGUUACAACUAAAAUGAAACAUUUCAAUAUCAACAGCUAACUUACUUUUAACACCAUACUUUGCCUACUCAAAUCAUGCCAAUUCACAUUUCCAAAACAUUCAUAUAUAUAUAUACCAUAUCAACUAAGCAUUUCUUAGCCUAAAAUCACAAGCACAAACAUUCUCAAUUUUUCAACCAUUAGCUACCAUGAAAGUUGCAUUCAACAUACCAUUCCCAAAUCAAACAUGAACCAUAUCACUAAGAGGUAUUAGCACAACUAUAUACAUACAUCACCAACCAAGCCAAUUAAAUCAACUUACAAAGCCAUUUACAACAUUAUAAACAAACUUUUGUAAGCCAACACAAAUAGCCAAAUUCAUAACAACUAAUAUACUAAAAAGACCAAGUUCCUAUACAUGCCAUAUACUUAAUAUAUCAAAGUUCAUAGGUGUCGAGAAAUAGGUGGAUAGUGUGUAGCGAUCUCUGACAAUCCCAGAACCCGAGCUAGCUUUGUAUUCACUAUAAAACAUAGAAAAAGAAAAAAUGUAAGAUAUAAAGCUUAGUAAGCUCGUAUGAAAUAAACUUAAUGUAAUCACAUAAAUAUAACUCAAUAAUUUGAAUACAAUAAUUUGUAGCUUACAUUAGCUAACAAACCUUUCCAAUUCUCAAUUGUGAGAUUAUACACUACCUUCACAAGUUUCUUUGAUUUGAAACUUAUAAUUCAUGUACAUACUUGUAUCAUUUAACGUCAAUCUCAUAAUCAUCCACCUCUUUCAUAUACCCGUUGAACCAUUCGGAAUAGAAGUCAGAUACUCAAGGUUUUCACACAAUAAGUACCUAUACAAUAGCCCGAAGCCAAAUCAAGGUAACUUAUCUCCAAAGUACUGAUAUCAUCGCUCGAAGCCAAAUCAGUAUAACUCGCACCCGAAGUGCUAUAUCAUGGCCUGAAGCCAAUUUAAUGUAUCCCCUAAUGACAUGUCACUAGCAUCCUAAACUAUUCCUAAGGUUCAACCGGGAUUUUGAAUGUCAAAUCAACGUCGAAUCACUAUCAUUCAUAUCCACAAUCUCGUAUUCACAAUUUAAGCAACAUCAAAGUAUAUGAAAUACAUUUAUAUUGAAAUUAAUCACUUAUGCACUUACCUCGAAUGUGGAAACGACGAAAUAAGUUUUUUAGUCGAUAACUUUCGUUUUUUCUGAUCCAGAUCUGAAUUCCACUUUUCUUGAUCUAAAUAUAUUCAAAAUUAACUUAUUCAAUCAUUUCUCUAUUCAAUUUAAUCUAAAACACACAUUAGGGCUAUUUUACACAUUUGCCUCUAAACUUUCAUAUUUUUACAAUUUAGUCCUUAUUACACAAAAUCACAAAUUCAUGCAAAUUUCAAAAUACCCAUGCUUAGACAAAUUACUAUUAUGCCCUUAACAGCCCAUUUUUUUCAUUUAUUUCACAUUUUAUCCACAAAUUUUCAACAUUUCUCAAAUUAAUCCUUAUUUUGAAAUUUUACUAAAAAUCACUUAACAAAACUUGUAUAUCUAUCAACAAGCAUUCAUAAUCUAUCAAGGAACUUCAAAAUACACAUGUAUUCAUCAAUGGCAUCAUUCAAAAUCUUUAACAGUUUUGCAAAAUAGUCCCUGGGCUUGCUAGUACUAGAUGCAACGAUCACAAAAACAUAGAAAUCAUUCAAAACGGGACAAAAACGGACUUACAAUUGCACAAAUGAGCUUGGACGAAUGAAAGUAAUGAAAAUGGAUUUCUCUAGCUCUAAUUUUCGGUGCUAAUCACUUAAGGAAGAUGAUGAUAUUAUGUUCUUUUAUUUUUAACUUAUUAAUUAACCAAAUUACUAAAUUAACGUUAGUUAUAAUUCAUUAAAACCAUAUAAUGCAUGCCCAUAUUUGUCCACUCACAAUUAAAAUGGUCUAAUUACAACAUAAGGACCUUAACUUUAAGGUUCUAUAGCUAUUUGAUACCUUUAACUAAUAGAACAAUACUUUUGUAUUUUACACGAUUUAGUCCUUUUUUAUCAAAUUGAGAAACCAAAUGCUAAAAUUUCUUAACGAAAAUUUCACACCAUCAUAUAUUCAUGCUAUAAACAUUAAAAUAAUAAUAAAAUAAAUAUUUUAACUUCAGAUUUGUGGUCCAAAACCACUAUUCUAAUUUGACUAAAAACGGGUUGUUACAACUCUAGUCUCUACCUUUCCACCAACGCACUUACGAGUGUUGGGUCCAACUUAUACCCCUUACCUAUAAGGCCACGUGCAAAAAGUCAAAUUCUCUCAAGUACGUUUCGAUCAAUGGUGAUGGAGGAGCAAGUAGAUUACGAAUGUUGGCUUGCAAAAUUCAAUCUUCCGCCUAUUUAAGGAAAAAUAUACAAAAUAUUAAAUUCAAAUAUAAAAAAUAUAUAAAAAUUAUACAACAUUAAAAUAUAAUAAGAAAUAUUCUUACCAUUUGCAAUUGAUUGAUGAAAAUAUGGUUCUUAUCAUGACAAAUUAGAGAAUUUACCAUUGAUAAUUUCGAAAAAACUAAAUAUUUUGUAUUAGAAAAAAUAAUUUAAGAAAAUGUUAAGAUAAUUUAAAUAAAAAAUAAAUAAAAUUGUUAAAUUAAAUGACCCGAAUCCUUAUUUAAAUAAAACAUAGUGGUAAAAUAAAAUAAAAGUAAAAUCUAAAUAUAACUACACUUCUUUUAUUUUAUUUUAGAAUAAGGUUUUUUAAACCUUAUUAAACUCCAUCUAUUUUAUAUUGAUUAGAAUAAGGUGUUUCAGUCUUACUAGAAUAUGGCUUUACAAGCCUAUAAAUAGAUAUAGUUUAUUCCUCUUGUAAUGGUUCGAAUUCGACAUAGUGAAUUUUCUUCUCCUCUGCCCGUGGGUUUUUUCCUGAAAAGGUUUUCACGUAAAAAUCUAUAUUUUUUAUUUUAUUUUAUUUUAUUUUUUACAAAUUGGUAUUAGAGCUUCUGGGUUGUUCAUCUUAUCACGGUAAUGACAUCUUUGAAGUAUGAAAUUUUGCUAUUGGAUCGCAACACCAGAUUUGCGUUGUGACAGAUUAAGAUGCAAGCAGUUCUUGCGCAGAUGGAUCUAGAGGAUUCCCUGCUAGGGAUAGAUAAGAUGCCUUCGACAUUAACAGAUGAAGAGAAGAAGCGUAAGGAUCGAAAGGCGUUAACACAAUUAUAUCUGCAUUGGUCCAAUGAAAUUUUACAGGAUGUGAUGAAAGAGAAUGCCGUCGCUACAUUAUGGAAGAGGCUAGAACAAAUAUGUAUGUCGAAAACUCUAACAAGCAAGUUGCAUAUGAAGCAGCGUCUUUAUGCUCGUCGUUUGGAGGAAGGUGCAUCUGUUACAAACACUUAACAGUGUUUAAAGAAAUUCUCUCAAACUUGGAGGCCAUGGAGGUUCAGUAUGAUAAGGAAGAUCUAGGGUUGAUUCUACUUCGUUCAUUGCCCUCGUCUUAUUCAACCUUAGAGACACGAUUUUAUAUAGCCACGAGUCUCUCACAGUUGAUUAGGCUUAUAAUUCUUUGACCUCGAAUGAUAAGAUGAAGCAUCUUGUGGUUAAACUGACUCUCAAUGAGAGGGUCUCAUUGUUCAUGUGAGACAAGAUCGGAAUACUGAUGAUGAUCGUGGAAGGAUACAGGGAUUCCUGGAAGGAUACAGGAAUGGAAUCCUCACGGAAAAUUUAAGGAUAGAUCAAAGUCUUCAAAUAGAGGUAAAACUUGUAACUUCUGUAAGAAGAAAGGGCACAUUAAAUCUAAGUGCUAUAACCUACAGAACAAGAUUAAAAAGGAGGCUGCGAAUCAAAAGGGAAAACAACCAGAAAAUUUCGGUGAAGCUGAUGUUGUAGAAGGCUACAGCGAUGGUGAACUUCUAGUCGCUUCAGUCAACAAUUCUAAAGUGAACGAGGAGUGGAUACUUGAUUCAGCUACACCUUCCAUAUGAGUCCCAAUAGGGAUUGGUUUAUAACUUACGAAAUAGUGUCUAAAGGUGUUAUUUUGAUGGGAAAUAAUGAUUCAUGUAAAAUUGCAGGUGUUGGAACAAUUAAAGUUAAGAUGUUUGAUGGAGUUGUCAGAACACUUAGUGACAUACGACAUGUUCCAGAAUUGAAAAGAAAUUUAAUUUCGUUGAGUACUCUUAAUUCAAAAAGGUACAGAUACACAGUUGAAAGUGGGGUUUUAAAUAUUUUCGAAGGUUCCCUUGUUGUGAUGAAAGGGUAGAGAAAGACUGCCAAGUUAUAUGUUUUACAGGGUUCUACUGUUACUGGUGAUGCAGCUGUCGCUUACUCUUCCUUGUCAAAUGAUGAUAUUACUAAACUUUGGCAUAUGCGCUAGGGCAUAUGAGUGAGAAUGGCAUGACAGAAUUGAGCAAAAGAGGACUUCUUAAUAGGCAAGGAAUUUGCAAACUGAAUUUCUAUGAGCACUGUGUUUUUGGGAAGCAAAAGAGAGUUCGAUUCACCAGAAGAAUCCAUAACACGAAGGGAACGUUGGAGUAUAUUCAUUCUGAUCUGUGGGGGUCAUCCAGAAUGCCUUAAGAGGUGGAGCUAAUUAUAUGCUAACCUUUAUUGAUGAUUUUUCCAGAAAAAUUUAGGCGUUCUUCUUGAAGUAGAAAAGUGAUGUGUUUUUCGCAUUUAAGUCUUGGAAAAUUAUAAUUGAAAAAUAGACGAGAAAACAAAUAAAACACCUCCGCACAGACAAUGGCUUAGAGUUCUAUUAUGAUGAGUUUAAUAGAUUGUGCAAGUCAGAAGGGAUCGUGAGACACUUGACAGAUCAACAUACUCCACAGUAAAAUGGCGUUGUAGAUUGAAUGAACAGAACGACCAUGGAGAAGGUUCGAUGUAUGUUGUCGAAUGCCAACUUACCAAAGUCGUUUUGGGCUGAGGCCUCCUCUACUGUAUGUUUUUUUAUCAACCGAUCCCCAUCCGUUGCCAUUGAGAAAAAGACUCCACAAAAGGUAUGGUCUGGUAAUCCUGCUAAUUAUUCUGAUUUAAAGAUAUUUGGGUGUCCUACAUAUGCUCAUGUUGCUGAUGGAAAAUUAGAACCGAGAUCCAUUAAAUGUGUUUUUCUUGGUUAUAAAGCUAGCGUAAAAGGGUAUAAGUUAUGGUGUCCUGAAAAUAGAAAAGUUAUGAUUAGCGGAGAUGUUAUUUUUGAUGAAAUUGUUAUGCUACCUAACUUAUCUCUUAAAGACUUUUCCAAUAAAGAAAAUCAAAAGCAGGUAGAGCAUCAGAUUAAUAUAGAGUCGACUCCUUAAGCCAAUACAAAAAUUAAGAACAGAGUUGCUUCUGCACUACAAUACUCUAUUGCCAAAAACAGAACUAGAAGAGAAAUUAAACCUCCAAAGAAGUAUGUCGAGGCUGAUCUAGUUGCUUAUGCUUUAAAUGUGGUUGAAGAUAUAGAUGCGAAUCAAGAGCCAUCUAACUAUUCUGAGGCGGUUCGCUGUGAAGACUCAGAAAAGUGGAUGUUUGCUAUGCAAUAGGAGAUGGAAUCACUCCACAAAAACAGAAAAUGGGAUCUUGUGAAACUUCCUAAAGGUAAAAAGGUUGUUCGUUGUAAAUGGGUGUUUAAAAAGAAAGAAGGGACUCUAGGAGUUGAAGAACCCAGAUAUAAAGUAAGGCUUGUUGCAAAAGGGUUAUAGUCAAAUUCCAGGAGUAGACUUCACAGAUGUGUUCUCCCUAGUUGUUAAGCAUAGUUCGAUUCGAGCUUUACUUGGUAUUGUGGCCAUGCAUGAUUUGGAGCUUGAGCAGUUAAAUGUAAAAAUUGCAUCUUUUCAUGGAGAACUUGAGGAGGAUAUUUACAUGCAACAACCAGAGGGUUUUAUAGUCUCAGAAAAAGAGGAUUAUGUUUGCUUGCUGAAAAUGUCCCUUUACCGUUUGAAAUAGUCACCAAGACAGUGGUAUAAGAGGUUUGAUUCCUUUAUGACUUCUCAUGAUUUCAAAGAAAUAGUUUUGACAGUUGUGUUUACUUUAAGAAAAACAGUGAUGGUUCUUUUGUGUAUCUACUUCUUUAUGUUGAUGACAUGUUAAUAGCAGCAAAAGAUAAAUGAGAGAUAACAAAGGUCAAAGCCUAACUAAGUGAAGAAUUUGAGAUGAAAGAUUUAGGACUAGUAAACAAGAUACUUGGUAUAGAGAUUCUCAGAGAUAGAAAAGCAAGUAAAUUGUACCUAAGUCAAAAGGGGUACAUUGAGAAAGUUAUUUGCAGGUUCAAUAUGCAAAGUGCUAAGCCUGUUAGUACUCAUUUAUCAACCCAUUUUAGACUUUCAUCGGCUUUGUCUCCACAAUGAGAUGAUGAGAUUGAGUACAUGUCACAUGUUUCAUACUCUAGUAUAGUGGGAUCUCUCAUAUAUGCUAUGGUUUGUUCACGUCCAGAUUUAUCAUAUGCAGUCAGUACAGUUAGCAGAUACAUGGAGAAUCCCGGUAAAGAACACUGGAAAGCAGUUCAGUGGAUUUUAAGAUACUUACGAGAUACUACUGAUGUUUGCUUACAGUUUGGAAGAACUAGAGAUGGAGUCAUUGUGUGACAGCCCAAAAUUGACCCUAGUCGGGAAGUGGUUUCGGGACCACAAAACUGAUUCAUACUAAUAAUUAGCCAUCAUAUUUGAUGCUUAUUAUAUGUAUAUAUGCAUGUGUGAAAAUUUCAUGCUUGAAUUUUGUUAAUUGUAAGUGAAUUUUAUUAAAUAGGACUUAUGUGAGAAAAUUUAGAAAUGUGCUAGGCAAAUGUGAAGUGGCCUAUUAAUGCAUGUUAUGAAAAUGAUGGGUUUGCAUGUCAAAUUACCCAAAAUUUGAGCUAGUGGCUGGCCAUGCUAUGGGUGGAAACAUGUUGGGAACAUGUUGGCUUAGUGUGUUAUGUUAGAAAGAUUAAAUAAAAAGGUUAGUAAUUAAGUAAUGAAAAGGGAGGGGUGAUGAAAACAAAGUUGUCUCAUCCAUCCCCCCCCCUCCAUUUGCCGUAACUAGACAAAGAAAAGAGAAAAAAAAAGAAAGAGUGUGUUCAUCUUCCUUACCUUCUUGCAAAGCCGAAACAAAAGAGGAAAGAGGAAGGAAUUUGUCUAGGGCAUUCGGCUAUCUUGGAGGUUAAAUAAGGUAGGAGUUCAUGUUAUUUCUAUUGAUUUUUAUGAGAAUCUAGUAGUAGUCAAGCUCUUAUUGUAACCCAUAUGUUGAUUUUUCUUUAGUUUUGGUGACAAAUUGUGCAUACGGUAUUAUUGGAUAAAUGCUAAAAGGAUGGUGUUUUGAUAUUUUGGAUUGAAAUAUUAGAAAGGGGAAAAUAUGAGCUACCUAAAUAGAUAUAUGUGAAUUUAAAAGAUGGUAUAAACAAAUGUGGAGUUUUGCUAGUUUAGGAUUAUUCGGCCAAGUGUUUAUGUGGUGGAAAUUAAGUGUUAAAUGGAAUGAAAAUGAUAUUAUAUGGGGGUAUGUAUAUUCGGCCAUAUGAGUAAAUAUAUAGAUGAUGUUAAAUUUGAUUAUGUAUAAUGGGCCAUAUAGAGUACACAUUGUGAUAUUAACUUUAAUUCUCUAUAAUUGAUCAAGUGGGUGAUAUUGGUUUAUAUGGCUGAAUUUGAUUUAUGAAUAUGUACCUUGAAAUAAAAUAUAUCAUCGACUAUGUUACUUUGGAAGUAAGAAUGCAUUCGGCCUUGAGACAAUUUAUAAGUAUUAGUUAAUGUUCUAAUGUUUUGAACAAGAAUGGUUGUAAGAUGAAACGAAAAUUAUUAAAAUAUAUAUGAGUAAUUAACAAGGGUGGUUGCCGUGUAUAUAAUAUUUAUGUGUGUUUUAUUGAAAUAUUUAUUGGGUUAAUUUUAGUAAUUGGAUCUUAGGUGAUCAAUAGCUGAAUGGCUUAAAGUUAGUAAAAAGCAUAAGGUGAAUAAAAAUAAAAUGUUGCCGUAUGCUUCUUUUGAUAUGAAACUAUUAAUGUUAUGGGAUAUAAAUAACUAGCAAGGUAAUUAAACUAGUUGAUUUAUUUAUUUAAGCUCAAGAACCUAAAGGAGAGGCGUCCAACAAGGGGAAAUCGAAGGUCAUCGAGUAGCCGACUUGGAAUUAUUUUACCCAACAUAAAGUAAGUCAUUAAGCAUAUAGUUUGUAUUAAUUUAAAUGGUCAUAACGUCUAUGUAAUGAUGCUGAAUGGAAUGAUAAAUAUAUAUAUACAUGUAUGUAUGUGGUGAUGAAAGUGUUGAAUGAAAAGAAAAGAGGUGAGAUGUAUUGAGUUGUUGAUCUCGGCACUAAGUGUGCGGGUAUAAACAUUUAUGAUCAUGAGAUUGGCGCUAAGUGUGCGGGUUUAAAUUGUACAGCACUAAGUGUGCGAGUUUGAUUAUAUAGCACUAAGUGUGCGAGUUGAUUAUAUAGCACUGAGUGUGCGGACUUAAUAUAUACUUUUGAAUCACUAUGGACACUAAGUGUGCGACAUUAUUAAGUUGAUCACAGACAGCGGAUCGGGUAAGUACCUUGAGUUCGUGACUAAUAGGCGCUAUGUUUAUAUUUGAAGUUGAGCUUGGUAAGUUUGAACCUAUGUGACAAUUAUAAUUGAAGUCACGUACAUAAGAUUUAUCGUGGAAUAGGUGAAAGGUCGUUUAGUUGUAUGAUGGUAACGAAAAUAAAAUGAUGUAUGAAAAUGCCUCAAAUAUCCUAUUGACUAGUAUAUGGAAUGUGAAUGCAUGACUUGGUAGGAGAUUGAACCGAUAGAUUUAAGGAACUAUGGUAUGGUUCGGUAUGGAUGGAGUAACUAGCCUCGUUCCAUUUUGUUUCCUCUUGUGAUAAUGUUAUUAAUGGAUGGUAGUGCAUUGCUUAUGACUUACUGAGUUAUAUACUCACUCGGUGUUUCCUUGUCACCUAUUUUAGGUUUCUUGGACUCGUCUCUUUUUGCGUGAUCGGGCCGUCAUCAGAGUCAUCACACCGGCUAGCAACUUUUGGUAUCUUCUUUUUAGUCGGUCUAGGAGAACAUUUCGGCAUGUAUAGGCUAAUAUGUUUUGUUGAAAUUUGGUAUGUAAACUUUUAGCCAUGCGAAAAUGGCAUAAAUGUUCGGUUGGAUUUGGUUUUAUAACGUUAGGUCGUAAGUCUUGGUAAUUCGAUUUUUAUGCCAUAUGUCAUGGCUGAUUAAUUUUGGUGUUAAGAUUCAUGAUAUGGCAAUAGUGUAGUAGGGAGAUGUUUGACAAUGAUUAGCCUUUGGUAUGGCUAGUCAUGAUUAUAAUUUUGUGAUAUGUAUGAUGAAUUACUAGUUAGAUCAAUGAGAAAUCACGAAAUGGGCAUAGUUGCUUCAGUAACAGAUGCUGGCAGCAGCAGUGACGUGGGAUUGAAAAAUUACAAAAAUUAGUAGGAAUGGAAUUAAAUAGUGAAUAAAUUAUGUAAUCGAAGCUCGAUGAGUCUAUUUUCAUAUAGAAGUAACGAAACGAUCAUAUAGACAGUAUGUUAAGAGAUAUUCAGGUUCUCGUGAGACAGGGCCAGAACGGUUUCUGGGUUCCCUGUUCCGACUUUGGAAAUUCAUUAUAAAUUAACCAAAGAUAAUUAGGAGUCAUGCGAUAUAUGUAUAGAUUCCUCUCUGAGUCUAGUUUCUAUAGAAACAAACGGCAUCAGUAUUGAAGCUCUGUGCAGGGAGUUAUCCAAAUCGUAAUGCAUGAAGGUCAGUGUAGUCGUACCCUGUAAUAGGGGAGAAUUUAACUAAUAAAUGUACUAAUUGGCCUGACCAAAAAUUCUACAAAAAUUCUACCAUAUAGGUUUGUGAGUCUAGUUCUAGGGAAAAUUUACGGAACUGGAUUUUGAGUUUCAGAACUCAAGAUAUGAUUUUUAAAGAGACUAGUACGCAGAUUGGCAGCUUGUCUGGGAAAUGUCAAAUAAGUGGUUUGAAGUCUGUUAACACCUCGUGUUCGACUCCGGCGACGGUCUCGGGUUCGGGGUGUUACAAUUUUAUUGGUAUCAGAGCUAUGGUUUAGUCGGUUCUAGGGCUACCAUAGCACGUAUGAGUCUAGCUAUACAUGCCUUAAUGUUAAUGUUUAAAUGUGUGAUGACUUCUGACGGUUAAAAUUUUUGUUUUGAUUAGUAAAUGGAUCCCGGUGUAGAGAGAACCUUGGCGGAUGACGUUGAAAGUGUAGCGGCUGCUCCUGCACAAGGGACGCCGCCUGUUGAACCUCAGUCAUCUGCGAAUAAUCAAGGUGAGGGGGCUAAACAAGCCUUCUUUACCAUGAUGAAUGAGUGGGUCGCGCAAUAUGCCCGAACCAAUCCGGCUAUCCAACAAUUCCCGAAUUUGAAUAAUCCACCCCAAGAGCCCGUAAUGCCAUCAGUCACUGAUCCUAUGAGGCUGAGUAAGCCACCUGUAGACUUGAUUAGGAAGCGCGGGGCUGAGGAGUUCAGGGCCAUAGUUACUGAUGAUGCUGAAAGGGCCGAGUUCUGGCUUGAUAACACCAUUCGGGUGUUUGAUAAACUGUCAUGCACACCCGAUGAAUGUCUAAAGUGUGCUAUAUCCUUGUUGCGGGACUCAGCCUACUAUUGGUGGAGGACCCUGAUUUCCAUAGUCCUAAACGAACGAGUUACUUGGGACUUCUUUCAAACGGAAUUCCGAAAGAAAUAUAUUAGUCAACGGUUCAUUGAUCAAAAGCGCAAGGAAUUAUUGGAACUCAAGCAAGGCCGUAUGACAGUAUCUGAAUACGAACAUGAAUUCGUAAGACUCAGUAGGUAUGCCCGGGAAUGUGUAGCUGAUGAGGUUGCUAUGUGCAAAAGAUUCGAAGAAGGAUUGAAUGAAGAUUUAAAGCUACUAGUGGGUAUUUUGGAGAUAAAAGAAUUCGUGACACUAGUCGAACGGGCCUGCAAGGCGGAAGAACUUGGAAAGGAGAAGAAGAAGGCUGAAUUUGAAGCUAGAGACUAUCGUAAAAGAUCGACGGGUAAAGCUCCGUUCUCAGCUGUAAAGAAGUUCAGGGAGGACACUAAUAAGUCGAGGACGACUGCGGGAAUUUCCAUCAGAGCACGACCAUCGACGGACUCCCGAGCUACUUCGGUAGCUAGUGUGGGCAAUAAUCGUCAAGAGAAACCUGAAUGUCCCCAAUGCGGAAGACGACACUUAGGUGAAUGUUGGGGUAAGUCUACUAACAGGGCCUGUUACGGAUGCGGUUCGAAGGACCACUUUAUUAGAGAUUGCACGGAGCUUGAUGAGAAGAAUAAGAUUCAAGGUGCAAGACCUAGUGGAGUGACAACUAGAGGUAGACCACCGAGAAUUUUAGGAGGUAGGGGUGGUAGUCAGAGAGGGGCCUCUGAUACGGCUGUUCGAGCCGAGAACCGUACUCCUGCUAGAGCAUAUGCCAUUCGCGCACGAGAGGAGGCAUCCUCCCCUGACGUCAUCACUGGUACCUUCACUCUCUUUGAUACUAAUGUGAUUGCAUUGAUUGACCCUGGCUCUACUCAUUCAUAUGUAUGUGAAACCUUAGCAUCCAGUAAGACUCUACCUGUUGAGUCCACUAAGUUCGUAAUUCGAGUGUCAAACCCUUUGGGUCAAUACGUACUUGUUGAUAAAGUGUGUAAGAGAUGUCCUCUAAUAAUCCGAGAAUCCUGUUUUCCGGCCGAUUUGAUGCUUUUGCCGUUUGACGAAUUUGAUGUUAUUCUUGGUUUGGAUUGGUUGACCGCGCAUGAUGCGGUUGUGAAUUGAAAAAGAAAGACUAUUGAUUUGAGGUGCGCAAAUAACGAGAUAAUCCGAGUUGAGUCUACGGACUUAAGGGGGUUACCAGCUGUAAUAUCAGCAAUGUUGGCCCAGAAAUAUGUAAGAAAAGGGUGCGAAGCAUACCUUGCGUAUGUACUUGAUGACAAAGAAUUAGAAAAGAAACCCGAAUCUGUGCCGGUGGUUUGUGAAUACCCGGAUGUUUUUCCUGAAGAGUUACCGGGUUUGCCACCUGUUCGGGAGAUAGAGUUUGGUAUUGAGCUUGUACCUGGAACUACGCCAAUUUCGAUAGCUCCGUAUCGUAUGGCACUAACCGAGUUAAAGGAAUUGAAAGCUCAAUUGCAAGAGUUGACGGAUAGAGGUUUCGCUCGACCAAGUUUCUCACCUUGGGGUGCACCAGUAUUGUUCGUGAAAAAGAAGGACGGAACCAUGAGGUUGUGCAUUGACUAUCGUCAACUGAAUAAAGUGACGAUAAAGAAUAAAUAUCCAUUACCGCGUAUUGAUGAUUUGUUUGAUCAACUAAAGGGAGCCUCAGUGUUUUCAAAGAUAGAUUUGAGAUCGGGUUAUUAUCAGUUGCGGAUUCGAGAUUCGGACGUACCCAAAACUGCUUUCAGAACGAGGUACGGUCACUACGAGUUCUUAGUGAUGCCGUUCGGGCUCACUAAUGCCCCUGCGAUAUUUAUGGAUUUGAUGAAUCGGAUCUUCAGACAGUAUUUAAACCGGUUCGUAGUUGUGUUCAUUGAUGACAUCUUAGUCUAUUCAGGAGAUGAGACCGAACAUGCUGAGCACCUGAGAUUAGUGUUGCAAAUUUUGCGGGAUAAGAAGUUAUAUGCUAAGUUCAGUAAGUGUGAGUUCUGGUUAAGAGAGGUUAGUUUCUUGGGUCAUGUGGUAUCCGCAUCGGGUAUUCGAGUUGACCCGAGCAAAAUUUCAGCCAUACUUAACUGGAAGCCUCCAAGAAAUGUUACCGAAGUUCGGAGCUUCCUGGGGCUCGCCGAUUAUUACCGACGAUUUUUAAAAGGUUUCUCGAUGAUAGCCACACCAAUGACGAAGCUACUUCAAAAGGAUGCUAAGUUCGAAUGGACGGAGAAAUGUCAGAAAAGCUUCGAUCAACUGAAAACUCAUUUAACUGAAGCUCCAAUUUUGGUGUUAAGAUUCAUGAUAUGGCAAUAGUGUAGUAGGGAGAUGUUUGACAAUGAUUAGCCUUUGGUAUGGCUAGUCGUGAUUAUAAUUUUGUGAUAUGUAUGAUGAAUUACUAGUUAGAUCAAUGAGAAAUCACGAAAUGGGCAUAGUUGCUUCAGUAACAGAUGCUGGCAGCAGCAGUGACGUGGGAUUGAAAAAUUACAAAAAUUAGUAGGAAUGGAAUUAAAUAGUGAAUAAAUUAUGUAAUCGAAUCUCGAUGAGUCUAAUUUCAUAUAGAAGUAACGAAACGAUCAUAUGGACAGUAUGUUAAGAGAUAUUCAGGUUCUCGUGAGACAGGGCCAGAACGGUUUCUAGGUUCCCUGUUCCGACUUUGGAAAUUCAUUAUAAAUUAACCAGAGAUAAUUAGGAGUCAUGCGAUAUAUGUAUAGAUUCCUCUCUGAGUCUAGUUUCUAUAGAAACAAACGGCAUCAGUAUUGAAGCUCUGUGCAGGGAGUUAUCCAAAUCGUAACGCAUGAAGGUCAGUGUAGUCGCACCCUGUAAUAGGGGAGAAUUUAACUAAUAAACUGUACUAAUUGGCCUGACCAAAAAUUCUACAAAAAUUCUACCAUAUAGGUUUGUGAGUCUAGUUCCAGGGAAAAUUUACGGAACUGGAUUUCGAGUUUCAGAACUCAAGAUAUGAUUUUUAAAGCGACUAGUACGCAGAUUGGCAGCUUGUCUGGGAAAUGUCAAAUAAGUGGUUUGAAGUCUGUUAACACCUCGUGUUCGACUCCGGCGACGGUCUCGGGUUCGGGGUGUUACACAUUGGGUAUGUUGAUGCUGAUUUUUCUGGAGACCUUGUUAGAAGAAGAUCUCUCACAGGUUAUGUUUUUACAAUCGGAGGUUGUGCAAUUAGUUGGAAAGUCGCUUUGCAAACUACAGUCGUUUUGUCUACCACUGAAGCUGAGUACAUGGCAAUUACUGAGGCUUGUAAAGAAGCUAUCUGGUUGAAGGGACUCUUUAGUAAACUCAAUAAAGACCUUCAAAUCACUACAGUAUUUUGUGACAGUCAGAGUUCAAUCUUCCUUACAAAAGAUCAAAUGUUUCAUGAGAGAACAAAACAAAUUAUGUUCGGUAUCAUUUUCGGUAUCAUUUUGUUCGUGAUAUUAUUGCUCAUGGAGAUAUUGUUGUGAGCAAAAUUAGUACUCAUGAAAAUCCUACAGAUAUGAUGACUAAGUCACUUCCUAUAACCAAGUUUGAGCAUUACUUAGACUUUGGUUGGUGUCCAUUGUUGAAGUUAAACCCUUAAGAGGUUUUAUGGAAGAGGUGGAGAACUUGUUCGUUGAGAGUUCGCGAUGAAGAACUUGUUCAUUGAGAAUCAUGUCAAGGUGGAGAUUGUUAGAUUUAAAUGACCCGAAUCAUUAUUUAAAUAAAAUACAAUGGUAAAAUAAAAUAAAAGUAAAAUCCAUAUAGAACUACACUUCUUUUAUUUUAUUUUAGAAUAAGGUUUUUUAAACCUUAUUAAACUCCAUCUAUUUUAUAUUGAUUAGAAUAAGGUGUUUCAGUCUUACUAGAAUAUGGCUUUACAAGCCUAUAAAUAGACAUAAUCUAUUCUUCUUGUAAUGAUUCGAAUUCGACAUAGUGAAUUUUUUUCCCCUCUGCCUGUGAUUUUUUUCCCGAAAGGGUUUCCACGUAAAAAUCUGUGUGUUCUUUAUUUUAUUUUGUUUUAUUUUAUUUUUCACAAAAAUUGAGAGAGCAAAAAAAAAUAGUGAAUUUAAGUGGGUAUUAAUAAUGUGUGAGAGAGAUGAGAUUGAAUUGAAAAAAAAAUGAAAUGGGAGGGGUUAUAGGAAAAUAAAAUUUGACUGUUUGAGGGUGUCUAACAACUAAUUAAAUAGUUGUUAUUUUUUAUUGUUAGGGGAAAAACGCUUCCAGCUAGAAGUAUUUUCAAAUGACUUAGCAGAAAGCAAUUCUAACUAGAAGCAUUUUCCAUACAACAUGCUGAAAACGCUUCCAAUUGAAAGUAUUUUCUUGCAAAUUGGAAGCGUUUUCCAAAAAAUAGCUUAUUUCGAUAAUUUUUUUCCAAAAUCGGUCUAUUCAAGUAAUAUUUUUUUGACAUUUAUUGAUAAAUUAAUCUUUUAAUUGACCAAAGUUAAUAUAAUUUUCCCAAGAUUCAAAAAGAAAAUUAUUUAAAAAAAGGCGGAGGAGAUUGUUUUACAAUGGUAAAAUGGGCAUUGUAUAUAAUUUACCUCCUGACCGUCAUUAAGACCUUUUCCUUCCUCGUCUCAUCCACGAUUUAUCUGCUUUUUCUUCUUUCAGAGGCAUUCCUUCAGGUAAAUCUCAAAAAUCAAGUUUCCCUUUUUUAAACUUAUUUAAUCAUAUACAAAAUUUCACUUCUCUAUAUAUAUUUUGUAAAAUUUAUUUUUAGAUCUGUUUCUUUUUCUUCCUAUUUUUUUUGCUGUUAAGAACAAUUCUGUUUUUAAGUCAAAUUUCAAAGUGUCUAUUCAAUAGUUAUGAUUAGUUUUUAGCUGUAACACUUGAAUUUCCCUUCUGGGUAUUUCAUUCUUAUUUGUUACACCUUAAUUAAUCCCUGAUAUUUCGGAUCUUCUUUAUAACUCUCUGAAUCUGAUAUAUAUAAAUAUAAAUUAUAAUAUAUUUUACGCAGACAUAUAAAUGCUAAAUUUAUUACAAUUUUACCUCCAUAGCAACCUGUGAUCACUGAUUUUUAAGGUCUGGGCCUAGAUCUGUGUUUCUAUUUAUGUUUUCCAUUUUGGGUUUGACCUUUUUUUUUUGUUUGGAUGCUGUGAAAAUGAAGGAAACUAAAGGGGGAAAAAAUAUAAAUUGUCUGUUUCUAUAUCUUAAUUCAAUCUUUUUUCUUAGAUCUGGUUGUUGACUUCUUUUUUGUAAUUAAUUAUUUGAAUGUUAGAUUUUUGAGGAAGAUGAAUCACUACAAUCUUCAGCAGAAUCCCGUUGCCGUUUCCGCUUACGAGGAGAUGGGAGGGUUUAUCUCUUCAAUAUCGGAGCAUCAUAGGGCCGGCCCCGUUGUUUGCCCUAAGCCUCGGCGAAUUGGGGUUCUCACCAAUAACCCUAUCAAGCCCUUUAGAUUGCAUAUGAGGUAUAAUUUUUCUUUUCUCUUUCCUUUGUGUUUUUCCCCCUUUUCUCUAAUUGGACUUUUGGUUGAUUUGAUUUGCUUGCUUUUAUUAAUUUAGUUUUUUGGUUUUCAAUUCCAGUCACCAAGCCGAUGUAAGUGAAUCGAAAGCCAGUGCAGAACUUCUAGAUAUCAUCCUCAACAAGGUAAUCACUGAAUCUCAAGUAUUAUAAAAAAGUGAAAAUACUAAUGUUAUAUACAUAUUGCUUUUUGAUAGUUGCUAUGGUUCUUAAAAGUAUUUGCGUCUUGCACUUCUAUCCGGAUAAACGACUAUACGAAAACGCUUCUAAAAGUCGGAUAUAUAUUUUCUUCCAGUUUGGAGUAAUAUAGGAGUUUUGCAUUUUUGAGGUUUGAGUUAUGUGUGUUAAUGUUUUUGUUUCUAGGAUGGACUUGUUUUAACGUGUUGUUUUGUUUCGGUUUUUGUAGGGUGAUUUAUGGGCAGAGCAAUCUGCAGCACAGGUAGCAUCUUCACCCCCAUUUUUUUGUGGUUCGCCCCCAAGUAGGGCCACGAACCCAGUUGUGCAAGAUGCUCGAUUUGGUGAUGAAAGAGUUGCAGCCCUUUCAGCAUCGCAAAGUCCAUCUCCGUCGCAAUCGGCACAUAAAGGGGGAUGUGUUAGGAUGUCGUUUGGGCUAAAACCAGCGGCAAUUAGAGUAGAAGGAUUUGAUUGCCUUAACAGGGAUAACCAAAAUUCCAGAAUCCCGGCUAUGGCUUAGAACUAGAGUGUACAUAAAAGGCCACCGUCCGGGUGAACAAAGCAGGGAUGAAUUAGGGAAAUAUGGAUUAUUUUUGGGGAGAAAGAGAUUGACUUGUGUGUAGUAGUGUAUAUAUGAUGUGGUUUUUGGUCUGGUAAAAUCUAAUAGAUUGCUGGGAUGGAAGGGAAGGCAAAUGUGAAAGGAUUGGAUUUUCAGGGGAUUGAGCAAAUGAUGAUGAAUUAGGGGAUUAAGUUUUGAAUGAUUGAUGGAGCAUUUUUGUAAUAUAAAUGAUUUGAUAUUUUGAUUUUGUAAAUCACCAUGGAGAAGAGCAGGGGAAGUUGUGUAUAGAUCCUAUUGGUGAUUGAAUUUUGUUCUGUAAUUUAUGAUUCAAUAAUUGUCAAUUUUUCUUCUUAUGACAUAUUGAGCAUCAUAUUUAUGUUUUAUCAUAUGAUAGCAACCGACAUGGUUCCUGAUGAUGGUCAUUGCAGGCACAUCCCCUCUAUAAAUCCCAUUGGGAGUGCAAUUUCCAUUUGCUUCAUGACUGGUUUUGACCUUAGCAGCUACACAAGAACCCAUUGCAAAACCUUCCGAAUCCCUUAUAGCAGCAGCUAUGAUUGAACAUGAUUUUUUGUGAGUCACUUUUUAGUUUAAUUAUACUUUUGAAAUUUAGUGCUUUUGCUUUUAAUUUUUUUAAAUUACUCAUUUUAUUUUUUAAAAUUUAAUAAUUAAAAUUCAGUUAAUAAGGGGGUUAAGGAAUUUCAUUAAAUUAGAUAAUAUGCCGUUUUAUUUUAAAAAUGGUUCAUUUGGCUGGUUGAAAGACGCGUAGAAAUCAUGUAAGCAAAAAAAAUAAAUAAAAAAUAAUAAACUUUAAUCUCUUUCGUUGAAAGAGUCUGAAGAAACUUACCAUCUUUAAUUUAGAAUUGAAACCUUAUAACUCUAUAUUUAAUAUUGUUUUUUUUUUUUUUGCUUAUUUAUGUUUGCAAUAUUAGAUACAUGAGUAUUUUUAAAAUGUUAUAUAUCUCACAUUCUUUUAGUGAUAUUUUUAAUUGAUUUUCAAUUAUUAAAUUCCUAGAAUUAAUAUUUGUUAGAGAUUGGCCUAUAUAAAUAUCGAAAUAGAAAAUGUAUAGAAAAUUGAACACAUAAAUAUUUACGUGGAAAACCCUCAUUUAAGAGGAUAAAAGUCACGAGCAAAGAAGGCUUCGACUUUUUACUAGAUGAGUAAACAAACGAGGGUACAAGAUGAAGAAAAUAAAUCUAAAUGUAUUAAACGUACAAACUCAAAUCUCGAAAACAAAGCCCUAACUUGGGAAUAAAAUUCUCUCCAUAGUUACCACGAAAACCCUCAUUAAAACUCAUUUGCAACUACAUAUUGUUGCCCCCAAAAGAAAAGUUCUAUAGUACUACAUCUUUAUUUGUCUUUCUAAAUUAGGGAUACAAUGACCCCUUUAAAUAGACUAAGUUUAAAAAGUUGAAAUGACUAAAAUAUCCCUAAAGUAAUUAAAGUUCGACUAGGAAAAUAUAACAGAGUUUAACUAAGAGAAGAAACUUGGUAUUUGUGGGAAACAUGUCGCCACGUCACAACGUCAUCAUUCGCGUUGUCACGAAGUCGUUCGUCAUCACGACGUUGGGAAGCUUCUCAUCGUGACGUCAUCAGCUGAAAUUGGUAAGUGCCUGCAAGCUAUCCGAUAAAUACGAGACACACCCUACAAACCUCCACCUUAACUCGUAUUUAACGUACCUUCUUCUCCAAGCCCUGCCACAUGUAGAACUCGAUCUUUGCAGAAUGUCAACCAAGCCUAAACCGUUCUCGAACUUGGAAACCGAAAGACUCCCUAGUCUUCAAAUCAAGGUUGUAUAAUGCAACCAAUGCCAAUGAUACCCGAACGGAUGUGUGCUUCACAACAAGAGAGAAAGCAUCGAGGAAAUCAACUCCCUCCACUUGACCGUCACCCUUUGCGACCAACCUUGCGUUAAACACUUUUCUUUAUUCUAAACUGCUACAAUAUGAAAUCUAUGAUUUCAUCAAAAUUUUCAAUAUCGAAAUUCGUUGUUAUUAUACUUGAAUGGGUCGAUUACAAGAACAUAACCUAGCUCUGAUACUAGUUUGUUGAGGAUCGACCUGUAUAAACAACGAACAAAAUUCUAAUUUUAUGUAUGAUUUAGUGGUUAAAAGAUAUUGAUUUAAUUUAGAUUUAAAGAAUUAGGUAAAUUUUUAUUUAGAUAAUACUCUUUGAACGGAGGGUGUGCGUAUAUAGUGUGAGUAUAUAUUUUUUUUGCAAUAGUUUAUAAUAUUGGUAAUAAUAAUAUUUUAUUAUGUAAAAAAAUUAUAAUUAUUUAUCAAAUAAUUGUAUUGUAAAGAUUAAAUUUUUGUAUAUAAAGUUAUAUUAUAAAACAAACAUAACAUUAUAAAAGGAUAUCUCAUUAAAAUAUAUAUCCUUAUGAAAUGAUAUAUUUGGAUGUUUAUAUAAACCGCUUUUUUAUUAAUAUUUUUAUUAUUUUACUUGAAGUGUUGAUGUUUAUAUAAACUGUUUUUUUAUUAAUAUUUUUAUUAUUUUACUUAAAGUGCUGAUGUAAUUUAAAAAUAUUUUAAAGUUUUAAAAAAAAUGUUUUACAUGUUUUAAACCAUUAUUAUAUUUCUUAUUUUACUUUCCCUAUUUAAUUUUUCUAAUAUAUUCCUUCCACGUGUGUAUCAACCUAACUGUAUAGUAUAAAUAUAAGAAAAACAAAAACAAAAAUUCACUCACCACUACAACCACACCCAUAAGCAGCUUUAGACAAUUUUGACUCUUACAAGUUCGUGAAAGCAUAAUUUAGAAGGGAUUUAUAUAAAUUGUUGGAAAAUAAACACAACGAUAAUUACAUAUUAUUAUUUACUAUCAUAAUAGGUUAGUCCAAAUUUAAAAGUGAUUUAAUUUGAUUACGGUUUAUUGUGCUUUAAUUAUUAAAUAAAAUAUAGAUCAAAUAUGUGUAGAUAUUCUAGUAACUAAUUUUUAAUUGAUGAUGGGCUGAUUAGAGAUUAGGGCUAAUAUGCCAAAGUUAUAUAUAUAUGUGUAGGGUUAUGGUCUCCAAAUUACAUAUAAAGUAAUUUUUCUAAUAUCCCAUCUUUAGAAAAGGUGAGUCACCUUCUCUAAUUACUUGUGUGCUAAUUUGGAAGACCAAAACCCUAAGAUCCGUAGAUUUCAAGAAAUCGAUGAAUUCAGGUACGCUUUCGCAUCUAGUUUUGUUCUUAAUUUAUUCUUGAUAAUUUGACAUGACGAAUCUUGCUUUACAGUUCUAAUUUUAUAUUAAAUAUUAUUUAUGGUUCUAACAAGUGGUAUCAGAGCUUCGUCAUGUCAUGUUGAAUUAUUGGGAAUGAAUUGAUUAUUUAUUAUUUUUGGAUUGAUUCGUUUUUCUUUUUUUAAUUUUAUGGAUUUGAUAUUUUAAUUAUAUACUAUGUUGAAUCUUUAAAUUCUUAAUAAAAUUUUUGAGUUUGGAUUCUUUAAAUAAAGUUUUAGGAUUUUAUAAAUAUAAUCUAGUUUAAUAUUUGAAUAUAUUAUUCGAAAGACAAAGGUUUAUUUAUUUAUUUAUAAUUAAAUGAUAAAGUUUGAUUUGUGGGAUUUCUUUCUCUUCUCUUCGCACAAUUAUUUUAUAAAUUUUGGUUAAAGUCAUUAUUAGAUUAAAGUUACAGACUUAUAACUUUUUGUAAUUGAAGAAUUUCAAUUGGGUUGUAUAAUUGGUUUUGAAUGUUAAUUCGCUUGAUAAUCGAAUGAAUGAAUGUUGUUAAGAUAUUUUUUUUCACACUAUUUAUUUUAAAUUUUCUGUUUGUGGUUGAAUGUAUAUGGAAUUAUCAUAUUUUGUCUUUAUUCAUAAUGAAUUAUAUUCACGAUUGAAUUCAAUUCAUAUAUACGAAUGAUUAUUUUUGGUUUCUGUUAUAAUUAUUUUAUAUAAGUUUUACUCAUUAUGGAACUGACUAAAAUUAAAACAUUUGGGUUUUUUUUAUACGGUGGCUAUGAAUUUUCAUAAGUAGUUGCGCAUAUGAAGGCCUUUAUACAAAUUGAGAUUUUUUUUUUAUAUUUGGUAGUUAUGGAUUUUUUUAAGUGUUUGUGCGUAUAAAGAAGUUUUAUGAUAAUGUCUUUAGUCAUGAAUAUAAAUUUGAGUUUACAUUAAAUAUGUAAGGCAAGUCAAUAUUAUUUUUCUAUUAUUAAAUCGUGUAUAUGCAUAUAUUAUAUGCAUAGCAAUGAUUUUGAGGAUUAAUACAUGAUCAUAAUUUGUGUGGAUAGGUGUUUAUAACCAUUAUUCAAUAAGAUAUCUUUUAUAGUUUAAUUUGUGACAUUAAGUUUUGAUGGAUAUCAUUGAAGUUGUUAAACUUUUUUUCUUGUUAUGGUUAUAUAUUCAAAUUUAUGUGUGCUUUGAUGCAAAUUCAUGUAAACUAUAUACAUGUUUAAAUAAUUUGGUUUUAAGUUUGGUUCUACAACAUUAGGUUCUGGCAUAUUAUGGUUCCAAUAUUUAGUUAAAUUAUGUUGAUAUGGUCUACAAUAUGAACUAUGGGAUAUAUCAACUAUUAUAAUUUUGUUUUUUAGAUUUAUUAGCUUGAAUGUAUUUUUCAAGUAUUCAUGCAAAUCUCUAUUUAAUCAUUAAUACAAUUUUGGAUUUACAUGGUAUAAGCAUGUAUAAGUUUUUUUAUCUGAUUUUGAAUACAUGUAUAUGUGUGAGUUACUUUGGUGUUUUUUUCUAUGCUAAAAGAGAGAGCCACAUUCUCAAGAUUACUUGUAUGCUAAUUUAGAAGAUCAAAACCCCGAGAUCCGUAAAUUUCAAGAAAUCGAUAAAUUCAAGAAUGCUUCCGCAUCUAAUUUUGUUCUUUUAAUUUAUUCUUGAUGAUUUGGCAUGACAGAUUUUAAUUUACAAUUCUAAUUUAUAUUAAAUAUUAUUUACUGUUCUAAUAUAAAUACCAUUGAGUAUUUUGCAAAUAACAUAAAAUUCUUAUAUUUUCACCCAACACAAAUUUAACAUCUUUUUUCAUUCGAAUUUAACACUAUAUUUUAUAUGAGAGAAAAAAUUGGGAUUUAUAUAAAUAUACAAUAUUAUGAGUUAUAAAAGUAUAAAAAGAAAACAAAUGCAAUUAUUGGUAGGUCUACAUUUAUGGUCCCGAAAAUAAAUUUAUAGGAGCCUUAAAAACUUCUCAUGUAUCCUUAGGGUAAAUAUGAGACCACUCAUUUUCUUACUACUAUUAUUUUAUUUUUUCUCAGUAUUCCAUUGGAUGGAUUUAUUCUGGUUGUUUCUUCUCAAAUAUAUAAGAUAUUUCAGUAACCUGCGAAAUAUUUUCUUUUUCUAAUUUGAUAUAUAUUUUUCCUUACAUAUGAGAGUAGGGUUAGUUUAAUAAUAUUUUUUAAAAGUGUAGUUGAAUUAAAAAGUAGUUUUGAGUUAAAGUUAAAAUUCUGUUCCUAUUUUUGGUAAGAAAAGUAUUUUUUUAAAGGAUAUUUUAUCUCAAAAAUACUUUUAAAAAACUUAAAAGUAUCUUGUUUAGAAAUAUUUUUAUUUUAAAAAAUAUUUUUUAUCUUUAAAAAAUACUUUUGAGAAGCAAUGUUAAACUUACCUUAAGACGUAAAUAAAAAAUUUUGAUGAUUGAGAAUAUUUUAAUGUGUAUUUUAAAAUUUUAGAUAAUUACCAUUUAACAGAAUAAAUACUUUAAUUUUUUUUAAAAAAAACACAUCUUAAAAUGAAAAAAAAAGAAAAAAAAAGAAGACUUUUAUUGUUCUUUUCUUUAUCUUUUAUGUAUUGCUUCUCUAAUCUUAACAUUUUUAGGCUAAACAUGGUAGAGAAAUAAUUAUGAAUUUUGUUAACAUCAGUUAUAAUGUUAUUUGCGACUUAAGAAAAGGCCAAAAGUCGACAAAAUAUUAUAAUUUACUUCACAUGUAUAUAUUUACAUAUUUUUGAGUAAAUUACAAUACUGAAAAACAUUGAAUUAAGUGAAAAAUUUCAAAUAAUCUUUAUGUAAUAUGCCAACCUCGUUUAAAAGAGAUUGAUUUAAGAAAAUCUCUUUUAUUAUAUUUUAUAAUAAAUUAUUUAAUUAGAAUAAGAUUUUUCAUAUUUAUUUCGAUCACAUUUACUCUUUUACAAAUUAUUAUAAUGCCUAUUUAAAUGUAUUUUCGAGUUUUUUUAGAGGAGUUGAGAGAGUAUUUAUUCUGUUUAUGUUACAAAUCUAUUUGAGUAUAAAUUCUUUGUAAGUAAUUUGUUUUUACUGAUUAAUUUAUAACUAAAUCUUUUGUGAAAUUUUAAUGUGAGAGUAAGUUGAAUUUAAAUUAUUAUCUUAUUAUUUAAGUAAGAUCUUAUAAAUGGAGAAAUUUUUUAAACCGUGCCAAUAAAUUUUUAAUGUCAAUUUUUGAGCAAAACCUUAUAGAUGGUAAAAUUUUUUGAAUUACGUUAGUGUCAUUUUUAUAUUUUCUAUUCCUAAUUACUUAUUCGAAUUGCAAUUUAACCAAUAUUUAAACUAAUAUCUGAUAGGCAAAUUUCUUUUUAGAGUUGUAUUCCAAUUAUUGGCGCACUUCGACUGAGAGGGAGAGGGAACAAUUCUUAUCUGAAUUUCUCCAUCUUUUGGUUCCACCACAAAUGUAGCUAUCCUUAAUAUUAGGUUUUCUUUUUCUUUUUUAUAGAAAAGAGAACGAAAAUUAUAGUCCACUAAUUAAGCACCAAUUAUAAAACAAAAAUUCCUAACCCUUUUGAGUUACAAAUUUUGAAAUGAAAUUGAGUUUAAGAACAUAGAGCUACUAAUAUUAUUCAAUAUUAUAAUUAAUAUGCAUCAUUAUGGUUUUCCUUUUCCAUGUUGGGUUAAAAACUAAUAAAGAUAAUCAUAAUUAUUAUUUUUAAAAUAAUAAUAAAUUCAAUUCUUAAUAUUUAUUCUUUUUUAUUAUUUUAGUUGUUUUUUUUUUUGAUAUUUUACCAUCCAAUCUUGAAAAUUAGUUAAAUUGCUCUUUUUAGAUGGAAAAAGUGACUAGAUUUUUUAAAUUUAAAUGGCAUUGAUGCAAUAGUUGCGAGAUGUAAUUUAUAAAAUUAAAAAAAAUAUUUUAAAAAAAAUCAUAAUUUUUUUAAAAAAAUUAUCCACAUAAACAAUAAUAUAUAUAUAAACUGUCAUACAGAUUGUUACAUAGUGUCAUUAAAAAUUUAAUAGUUCCUUCAAAUUUUCUAUUCAAAGCAAACUAAUAUUUGACUUUUAAAAAAAAAUUUAGAGUGAAAAUGAUAAAAUAAAAAUAUAUUAUAUAUUAAAUUUAUCAUUAUUUUUUAAAUUAAGUUCAAAGAUAUCAACUAAAACUUAUGUAAUGCAAAUCAUUUGUCACUAUACCAAUAGUGAUUUUAAUAUUUAACGAGGAAAUAGAUUGAAUGCUGAAUAUAUACAUUUGAAUUUAGCCUUUUUAAGUUGUUAUUUUAAUGAUAGAAACUUGUGAUGUUAUAAUAAAACAAUUUAAUAAAAAAUGGUUUGUUAGGUGUGUUCCUAUGUACUAAGAUAAUGAGCCUCCAACAGCACAGCGUUGCUUGUCCACAAAAUCUUUAUCCUCUUAUUUUAAAGCCAGACCACCCAAUCGCCUUUUUCUUUUUUAAUUUUUAUCCUAUCUUAACAUGAAUAUCUUAGCACUGGAAAUUAAGGAAGAACUGGAUUCAAGAAAUAUGGCAAGAAACUACCUUUUUAUUCAUUAGUUCUCAGCCGUUCCAUUGGAAAUCCAAAACAAAACAAAGAGAAAGACCCCAAGCCAAAUACCUCAAUUAAAAAAGAAAAAGAAAAAGGGGGGGUUUUGAGGGGCUUAAUUUAAGUACAACUUUGAAACAAAUGGAAUUCCUAGGAGGGAAGUAAACAACUUAGUAGCCUUUAGGCUUGUAGGCAAUGAAACUAAUGCACUGCACUUGACGAACGUUGUCGAACCCAAUGAUUCUAAUGAAUGCAUUGGGGUAUUCCUUCUUGCAAUUCUCAAGCUCCUCCAACACCUGAGCCGAGUCAGUGCACCCAAACAUGGGCAGUUUCCACAUGGUCCAGUAGCGUCCAUCGUAGUACGUGGGUAAGCUCGAGUACUUACGGUGCACGAAUCCCUCCUGCACAUACAUAUAAAACACAUUUAAUCAAAUCAAAUAUCCCACUAAAAAAAUAAAGUGUUGGAAAGGAAUAAUUUAGAGCUCGAAAACACCUCUAAUUCGAAUUCCAAGCAAGGAAUCCAUUUAGAGCGAAGAAGGUAAUCUACUUCCUUAGCCAACUGUACGGGUGUAAGAUCGGGGAGGUAUGAGAGUGUCUCGAACUUCUUCUUCCCAAGAGGAGGCCACACCUAUACUCAAAAGCCAAGAUAUAUAUUUGAUUCAAUUUAUGUAAUUUGUUGUGUUCAAACAAUUGGGGUAAUUUAAGUUGUAUUUAUGCAUCACCAAGUACCUGCAUGCAUUGCACUCUCCCACCAUUGCUUGCAAGAGAAGUGAUGUCGUUGUUGGCCUUCCUAGUGACUGGGAAAGCAGAGGCAGACUUGAGGCCGGUGAAGGGGGCCACCAUGUUGGCCUGUGCCGGGGAGGAGCAGUUCACGGUGGCAAUGGUUGCCGAUGAGAUCAUGGAGGAGGCCAUUGCUAUUACUGCUUACUAGUACUAUAUGCUACAGUUAUACAAAAGAGUCUCACUGAUCCCUUAAUA
rnacentral:lncRNA from 1 species